UACGGGGGGGGCAAGCGUUGUUCGGAAUUACUGGGCGUAAAGGGCUCGUAGGCGGCCAACUAAGUCGGAUGUGAAAUCCCCAGGCUUAACCUGGGAACUGCAUCCGAUACUGGAUGGCUUGAAUCCGGGAGAGGGAUGCGGAAUUCCAGGUGUAGCGGUGAAAUGCGCAGAUAUCGGGAGGAACACCGGUGGCGAAGGCGGGUCUCUGGGCAAUAACUGACGCUGAGGAGCGAAAGCGUGGGGAGCGAACAGG
rnacentral:rRNA from 1 species